UACAGAGGGGGCAAGCGUUGUUCGGAAUUACUGGGCGUAAAGGGCGCGUAGGCGGCCUGUUAAGUCGGACGUGAAAUCCCUCGGCUCAACCGGGGAACUGCGUCCGAUACUGGCGGGCUUGAAUUCGGGAGAGGGAUGUGGAAUUCCAGGUGUAGCGGUGAAAUGCGUAGAUAUCCGGAGGAACACCAGCGGCGAAGGCGGCAUCCUGGACUGGUCCUGACACUCAUGAGCGAAAGCGUGGGGAGCGAGCCGG
rnacentral:rRNA from 1 species